rnacentral:rRNA from 1 species
UACGAAGGGGGCUAGCGUUGUUCGGAUUUACUGGGCGUAAAGCGCACGUAGGCGGAUCGUUAAGUCGGGGGUGAAAUCCUGGAGCUCAACUCCAGAACUGCCUUCGAUACUGGCGACCUCGAGUCCGGAAGAGGUGAGUGGAACUCCUAGUGUAGAGGUGGAAUUCGUAGAUAUUAGGAAGAACACCAGUGGCGAAGGCGGCUCACUGGUCCGGUACUGACGCUGAGGUGCGAAAGCGUGGGGAGCAAACAGG